CCCUGAUUUGCUCAGUUUCUUAACGAGGAUAGCUGGGUCAACGUUUCCUGUGACAGUGACCUUCCCCUGUUCCACAUCUGCUUUUACAGAGUACACACCUGUUAUCAAACACAAUUAACAAACCCAUGUCAGAACCGCGAUCCAUAUGGCUUCUGAGAGAGAAACUCACUUCAUAUGGUCUCAAACAGACACUAGCUUCACCAAAUUAACAAUUCAAAUGACCAUACAAAGCUACUACCUCUCAAAGAAAUGGGGCCAAGAAAGAAGAACACACACCUUCGAUUUUCUGCAACUGUUUCCUCACUUUAUGCUUACAGCCUUCACAGUGUACGUUCACUUUCAGAACACAUGUCUGCCAGAAAAAAAACAAAUCCCAGUAAACAGAAUUAGCACAGUUAUAUACUCCAAUCCUGGAGGGAGAGAGACAAGAAGAGAAGGAGACGUAUACCUGAAGCUUCGUAACAUCUUGUUUAUUCAUAGUUUCUCUUAGAUUUGUGGGUUUUUUCACAAUCUGUGUAGAGAGAGAGAGAGAGAGUUUCAGCUCUUCUUUUCUCCUAUGUGAAGAGAAGAGAUGGUAGUAGAUAGAUAUGAUAAGAAGAGGGGUAUUAUAAUGUAAUAAAGUCGGUUGUUGCUGUGUUUUAAGGACAGAGAUGGAAAGAGAGGGACACUAAUAAAACACGCUCAAUACUUGUGUUUUGUUUUCUUUUAUCUCUCUGUUUCAGGAGGGUUUCUUAUUAUUUAUUUGGUCUGUAGAGAGAGAGAGGGCGGUGGCACAGGUAGCAAGGAUAUAUCUUUCAUUUUGAUUUGCAAAAUAUCUUCUUUUUUUUUUCCUUCAAUUAACAUUUUAAUAUUGUUUUUGAUUUUAAAAAUUUUAAAGUGUCAUGCUUUUUCUGGUACAGAGUAGAGGGAAAGAAGCAGAAGAAGAAGCUUAAAGGCAGCUUCUUUCACUUUGUCAGCAGAAUUAAGUACAGCCUCGCUUCGUCUGUAUUCAUUCAUCUUCCUGAAUACGAUUUGAUUAACACACAAAUUCGAAUAUCUUAAGGUUCCUUACCUACAUUCUUAGCUGUAUUCGUUUUUUUCCUAAUGAAAAUUUGCUUUUGUGGUUUAGAUGUAAACCGACUUUAUUAAGAGUCAAUAAUCUAGGUGUCAUGUUGUUACCAUGCAGUGGUUUUAUCUGCUGUUCUAAAAUCAACUUUUAAUUCACAUUUUGUCAAUAUGUUUUUAUUUUUACACAUGUACUAAUUUUUAAUGAUUUUUCCAUAAAUCAGUAAUAAGGAAUACGUGUUAAGUAACAACAAGUUUUAAACCUUAAAAAUUCUCUUAAUGGUCAUAGCGUAUAUCAUUUGCUUGCAAAUUAAUUUGACUACAAUAAUUUAGAUAUGACACUGAUAUUUAACAACAGAAUUUCAGGAUCAUAAUAAUGGUUUUGUGAUCAAUGAUUUUAAUGAAUCGUUGACAAGAGUGUUAAGGAUCCAAUCGCAAGCGAGAAUAGCGCCUUUGUCAACAAAAUGGAUUUGUUUAACAACAUCACACACGCAAACAAUGCAACCAUUGAAUUCAGACAUUAUUCUAUGACUCCUAUAUUGGUAAGUUAUGCGAUCUAGAUCUUACCUUCUCUACUAAUAUACCUCAUGCAGAAAUGUUUCUCAUGAACUGUUUGAUUGUUUAUAUCUAUGAUUUGUGUUUUUAGUCAAAAAAAAACUUGGCUGAGACAAUAAGUUAAAAAUCACAUAUGUCAAUACUCAAUAUAAUUUAGUGGUACCAAAAGAUUGAAAAACCUGAUUAUAAAUCGAGAGAAAGCCAGCAAUAAAUUAUUUGAUUAUAAUUUUUAUAUGUAGUAGGAAACCGAAUCAAACAACUUACAACUCUAUACUUUCAGUUUGUUUUUGGUACUAAAACAUUUAUAUUAGAAAAUUUAAACUUAAAAUAUAAAUAAAAUUACGAAAUUAAGGAGAAAAUCUAUUUUAUUUGAUAGUUAUCUCAAAAUACUCUGGAUUUUCAUUCAUAAAUAUUAUAAUGCUCUAAAUACUUUUGAGUAGAGUUUUAAAUAUUUAACAUAAUCAUUCAAUACAGAAAUUUUCAUUUUUUGUAAAGAUAUUCAAGUUGAUAAUCCAUGGUACUCCUCCACAACCCGGAAAUUUAUAAAUGGAAAACUAAAAAUAACUUGAUUUGACAACUUUUGUUGUGGACGAUGCUCGAUAAGUUUAUAUAAAUAAGAGAAAUACACAUUCAAUAUAUCUGUUAUUUGAUAUGUAUAUAUAAUAAUAUAAGAAGAAGAAGCGAAAAGAGACAAUAAUUUGAUGAGUUUUAAUGGGUCAUGGAGACAGGUAGGUCGCUUCCACUCUUUGCUGUGGAUAGAGCUCUCUAGGGCCAGCUUUCAACCACCAAUUAGUUUUUUUUUUUUGGGGUAAAAACCACCAAUUAGUUCGGAAUCAAUAAAUAUUAAUGAUGUAUUUUAAUUAUCUACUUGUAAUAUACUGAGGUUCUGAGUUAAAAAUAAAAUAUCACUUAAUUGCU